rnacentral:rRNA from 1 species
CAUUAGCGGAGGAAAAGAACCCANCAGGGAUUGCCCUAGUAACGGCGAGUGAAGCGGCAACAGCUCAAAUUUGAAAGCUAGCCUUCGGGUUCGCAUUGUAAUUUGUAGAGGAUGCUUUGGGUGAAACGCCAGUCUAAGUUCCUUGGAACAGGACGUCAUAGAGGGUGAGAAUCCCGUAUGUGACUGGAAAUGUUAACCUAUGUAAAGCUCCUUCGAGAGUCGAGUUGUUUGGGAAUGCAGCUCUAAAUGGGAGGUAAAUUUCUUCUAAAGCUAAAUAUUGGCGAGAGACCGAUAGCGCACAAGUAGAGUGAUCGAAAGAUGAAAAGCACUUUGGAAAGAGAGUUAAAAAGCACGUGAAAUUGUUGAAAGGGAAGCGCUUGCAAUCAGACUUGUUUAAACUGUUCGGCCGGUCUUCUGACCGGUUUACUCAGUUUGGACAGGCCAGCAUCAGUUUCGGCGGCCGGAUAAAGGCAUUGGGAAUGUGGCCUCCACUUCGGUGGAGGUGUUAUAGCCCAGUGUGUAAUACGGCCAGCCGGGACUGAGGUCCGCGCUUCGGCUAG